rnacentral:rRNA from 1 species
AUUGAACGCUGGCGGCAGGCCUAACACAUGCAAGUCGAGCGGAUGAGGAAAGCUUGCUUUUCGAUUCAGCGGCGGACGGGUGAGUAAUGCCUAGGAAUCUGCCUGUUAGUGGGGGAUAACUCGGGGAAACUCGGGCUAAUACCGCAUACGUCCUACGGGAGAAAGUGGGGGAUCGUCGGACCUCACGCUAACAGAUGAGCCUAGGUCGGAUUAGCUAGUAGGUGAGGUAAUGGCUCACCUAGGCGACGAUCCGUAACUGGUCUGAGAGGAUGAUCAGGCACACUGGAACUGAGACACGGUCCAGACGCCUACGGGAGGCAGCAGUGGGGAAUAUUAGACAAUGGGCGAAAGCCUGACCCAGCCAUGCCGCGUGUGUGAAGAAGGUCUUCGGAUUGUAAAGCACUUUAAGUUGGGAGGAAGGGUAUUCACCUAAUACGUGGGUACUUUGACGUUACCAACAGAAUAAGCACCGGCUAACUCUGUGCCAGCAGCCGCCGUAAAAC